AACUUUCAACAACGGAUCUCUUGGUUCUGGCAUCGAUGAAGAACGCAGCGAAAUGCGAUAACUAAUGUGAAUUGCAGAAUUCAGUGAAUCAUCGAAUCUU
rnacentral:rRNA from 1 species